GAUGAACGCUGGCGGCGUGCCUAAUACAUGCAAGUCGAGCGAACAGAUGAGGAGCUUGCUCCUCUGACGUUAGCGGCGGACGGGUGAGUAACACGUGGAUAACCUACCUAUAAGACUGGGAUAACUUCGGGAAACCGGAGCUAAUACCGGAUAACAUAUUGAACCGCAUGGUUCAAUAGUGAAAGACGGUUUUGCUGUCACUUAUAGAUGGAUCCGCGCCGCAUUAGCUAGUUGGUAAGGUAACGGCUUACCAAGGCAACGAUCCGUAGCCGACCUGAGAGGGUGAUCAGCCACACUGGAACUGAGACACGGUCCAGACUCCUACGGGAGGCAGCAGUAGGGAAUCUUCCGCAAUGGGCGAAAGCCUGACGGAGCAACGCCGCGUGAGUGAUGAAGGUCUUCGGAUCGUAAAACUCUGUUAUUAGGGAAGAACAAAUGUGUAAGUAACUAUGCGCGGCUUGACGGUACCUAAUCAGAAAGCCACGGCUAACUACGUG
rnacentral:rRNA from 1 species